GAUGAACGCUGGCGGCGUGCCUAAUACAUGCAAGUCGAGCGAACGGACGAGAAGCUUGCUUCUCUGAUGUUAGCGGCGGACGGGUGAGUAACACGUGGAUAACCUACCUAUAAGACUGGGAUAACUUCGGGAAACCGGAGCUAAUACCGGAUAAUAUUUUGAACCGCAUGGUUCAAAAGUGAAAGACGGUCUUGCUGUCACUUAUAGAUGGAUCCGCGCUGCUUUAGCUAGUUGGUAAGGUAACGGCUUACCACGGCAGCGAUGCAUAGCCGACCUGAGAGGGUGGUCGGCCGCACUGGAGCUUGGACGCGGUCCUGGCUCCUACGGGAGGCAGCAGUAGCGUAUCUUCCGCAGUGGGCGAGAGCCUGACGGAGCGGCGCCGCGUGAGUGGUAAAGGUCUUCGGAUCGUAAAGCUCUGUUAUUAGGGAAGAACAUAUGUGUAAGUAGCUGUACACAUCUUGACGGUACCUAAUCAGAAAGCCACGGCUAACUACGUG
rnacentral:rRNA from 1 species